rnacentral:rRNA from 1 species
AUGCAAUAUUCCAUAUUCCUAGUUACGUAUUUACUUACGGUGACGAAGAAUAAAACUAUCGCUAUAUUUUUUCCUUUUCCUAGUUCUUCUUCCAAGCGCAGGAUAACCCCAAGGGGUUGUGGGUUUUUUUCUACCAAUGGGAGCUUUCCCUUCACCGCCCCCAUGGGGUGGUCCACAGGGUUCAUAACUACCCCUCUUACUAUGGGGCGUUUACCUAGCCAACACUUAGAUCCGGCUCUACCCAAAUUUUUUUGGUUCACCCCAACAUUACCCACUUGUCUGACUAUUGCUAAGCAGUUUUGGGAUACUAAACGGACCUCCCCAGAUGGUAAUCUUAAAGUGGCCGAUUUACCCUCUUUUGCAAUGAGUUUCGCUAUAGCACCUGCUGCUCUAGCUAAUUGCCCACCUCUUCCACGUGUGAUUUCUAUGUUAUGCAUGGCCGUGCCUAAGGGCAUAUCGGUUGAAGUAGAUUCUUCUUUUCUCUCAAAAAACCCCUUCCCAAACUGUACAAGCUUCUUCCAAAGCAUACGGCUUUCUAGAUGUAUAUGA